AGAUUGAACGCUGGCGGCAGGCCUAACACAUGCAAGUCGAGCGGCAGCACGGGUACUUGUACCUGGUGGCGAGCGGCGGACGGGUGAGUAAUGCCUAGGAAUCUGCCUGAUAGGUGGGGGAUAACGCUCGGAAACGGCGCUAAUACCGCAUACGUCCUACGGGAGAAAGCAGGGGACCUUCGGGCCUUGCGCUAUCAGAUGAGCCUAGGUCGAUUAGCUAGUGGUGGGUAAUGGCUCACCGAAGGCACGAUCCGUAACUGGUCUGAGAGGAUGAUCAGUCACACGUGGAACUGAGACCGACGGUCCAGUACUCCGUACGGGAGCAGCAAGGUGGGUAAUAGUUGGGAACAAGUCGGGACGAAAGCCUAGGACUCCGA
rnacentral:rRNA from 1 species